UAGUCCACGCCGUAAACGAUGAUAACUGGGUUUUUGCGAUUUAUUUGCAGGAGCCUGAGGGAAACCAUUAAGUUAUCCACCUGGGGAGUACGUUCGCAAGUAUGAAACUCAAAGGAAUUGACGGGGGCCCGCACAAGCGGAGGAACAUGUGGUUUAAUUCGAUGAUACGCGAGGAACCUUACCCAGGCUUAAAUGUAGAUUGACAGGUUUAGAGAUAGACUUUUCUUCGGACAAUUUACAAGGUGCUGCAUGGUUGUCGUCAGCUCGUGCCGUGAGGUGUCAGGUUAAGUCCUAUAACGAGCGCAACCCCUGCCGUUAGUUGCCAGCAUUUAAAGAUGGGGACUCUAACGGGACUGCCGGUGCAAACCGCGAGGAAGGUGGGGACGACGUCAAAUCAUCACGGCCCUUACGUCCUGGGCUACACACGUGCUACAAUGGCCGGUACAGAGAGUUGCCACAUCGCAAGAUGGAGCGGAUCUUUUAAAACCGGUCACAGUUCGGAUCGGGGUCUGCAACUCGACCCCGUGAAG
rnacentral:rRNA from 1 species